GUGGGGAAUAUUGGACAAUGGGCGCAAGCCUGAUCCAGCCAUGCCGCGUGAGUGAUGAAGGCCUUAGGGUUGUAAAGCUCUUUUGUCCGGGAAGAUAAUGACUGUACCGGAAGAAUAAGUCCCGGCUAACUUCGUGCCAGCAGCCGCGGUAAUACGAAGGGGGCUAGCGUUGUUCGGAAUCACUGGGCGUAAAGCGCACGUAGGCGGACCAUUAAGUCAGGGGUGAAAGCCUGGAGCUCAACUCCAGAACUGCCUUUGAUACUGAUGGUCUCGAGUAUGGAAGAGGUUGGUGGAACUGCGAGUGUAGAGGUGAAAUUCGUAGAUAUUCGCAAGAACACCGGUGGCGAAGGCGGCCAACUGGUCCAUUACUGACGCUGAGGUGCGAAAGCGUGGGGAGCAAACAGGAUUAGAUACCCCAGUAGUCC
rnacentral:rRNA from 1 species